UAUUAAUGAGAUUGUUUUAAUAAUUAUUUUGGGUUAAUUAUUUAUGAAGUAGGUUUUGGUUAAUGUAAUUUUAAUUGAUUAAAUUAUUUAUACUAUAGUUAAUUAGUACUGUGAAGGAAUUUUUUAUAAUUUUUAAUAUAAUAUGUAAAAGGUAACAUUAUUUGUUGUAUCUUGUGUAUCAAAGUAUAUUAAAUUUAAUUAUUUAAUUUUGUUUUCUCGAAUUUAAAAGAUUUAAUUAAAUAGUUUAGUUGUUGUGUCAGAACCAUUAAAAAUAUUUAUUUGGUAAUGAAAUGUUAAUCGUUUUUAAGGAUAUCUAGUUUUUUAAUAAAUGAAUUUAAUUCAUAGGAUAAAAAUUAUUUUAUUAUUUAAUAUUAAAAUAUAUUUUGUUCUAAAGUUUUAAGGGGAUUAACUCUUGAAAUGAUUAUUAUAAUUAUGUUAUUUUGAGAAUUUUAUAAAUUUAGAAUUUGUUAUUAAUUAAAGGAUGUUAAAAUUUAAUUCUUGUUAUGUUAUAAUUUUUAAAUUAUUUAAUUUAUUUAUUAAAAUAUAAUUUUUAAUUUUUAUUUUUUAGAAAUUAUGAUUUAAUUAGUAAAAAUGGAUUUUUAUGGUAUUUCUUAAUUGUAAUGUUAAUAUAAGGAAUUAGGCAAAUAUUUUACUCGCCUGUUUAUUAAAAACAUGGUUUCUUGAAUUUUAUAGGAGAUCUAACCUGCCCACUGAAUUAUUUUGAAGGGCCGCAGUAUUUUGACUGUGCAAAGGUAGCAUAAUCAUUAGUCUUUUAAUUGAAGGCUGGAAUGAAUGGUUGGACGAGGUAAAUUCUGUCUUAUUUUAAUUAAAUAUUUGAAUUUAGGUUUUAAGUAAAAAUACUUAAAUAUUAUUAAGGGACGAGAAGACCCUAUAGAGUUUAAUAAAAGUAAUUUUAAUUAAGUUUAAAAGCAAUUUUUGGUUAUUAUAAAUUUUAUUUAAUUGGGGUGAUUGGAAGAUAAAUUUAACUCUUCUUUGAAGUAUAUAAUUUAGUUAGUUUAAUGAUCCAUAAAUAAGUGAUUAUAAGAUUAAAUUACCUUAGGGAUAACAGCAUAAUUCUUUUUGAGAGUUCAUAUCGAGAAAAGAGAUUGUGACCUCGAUGUUGGAUUAAGAUUAAUUUUGGGUGUAGAUGUUUAAUAUUAAGUCUGUUCGACUUUUAAAAUCUUACAUGAUCUGAGUUUAAACCGGCGUGAGCCAGGUUGGUUUCUAUCUUUAAUUUAUAAAAUAUCUUAGUACGAGAGGACCAGAUAUUUAAAAUAAUUUUUUAAUUAAUUGAAUAUUAAUAAUU
rnacentral:rRNA from 1 species